CGAGGGUGUGUCCCAAUUCAGGGGCUGGAUCCUUCCAAGUCCGUACUUGUGGGCCGAUUACGUCACAGCGCGGCACGGAAGGUCUUUCAAAUGCGGCAGACAAAUGUGUCCUUCUUUUGCCCGAUUUGGUUGUUGGAAAAAGGAGCUGACGGGCCAGUUUGUUAAGCUCAGGGGUGAGAAUGACCACCUUUUUACUGGAGCUAAAAACUCAGCCACCGUGGCUUGGAGUUCUGGAGAAGACGGGCCAACAGGGGAAGGUCACCCCCUUGCAGGACAAAAAAAAGUG